rnacentral:lncRNA from 1 species
AAUUGGGAUGCCCAAUUAAACUGCCGGAUCAGACUUAAAAUAAAUUUAACAAAUAAUUAUAGAAAAAAGAGAGAAAAAAGAAAAUAGAAAAGAGAGGGGAUAAAAAAUAAAAAAAUUAAAAAAAAAAAAAUUAAAUAAAAUAAAAUAAAAUGAAUAAAUAAAUAACAUGAACAUCGACAUAAAUUAAAAAAGAAAAAGACCCAAAUGAAAGCUGAAAAAGACGCAAUUAUAAAAAAAAAAGAAUAAAAGAAAAAGAAGAAGAAAAAAAAAAAUGAAAUACAUGACUUUAAAUAUCUUAAAUACAAUUAAUAAAGGAUUUGAAACAAUACAAUUAAUAAAGAAUUUAAAACACAACUAACAUGAUGAAAUAAAAUAACAAAGGAAAUGGGAAAGAUAAAUAAUACAAAAUAAAUAUAACAAUAAUAUAAGAUAAAUUAAUAGAUAAAUAGAUAUUAAUAGAGAUAAAUAAUAGAUACGUUUAUAAAUAGAUAGAUAGUUAUAAAUAGAUUAAUUAAUAUUAUACUAUCGUUGCAGAUACGCCGGUGCCGAUGAGCAACACGGUUAUCAUCGAAACGAUGAGCCUGACCAAGGAGCAGAUCGACGAGCUAGAGGAGGAAACCCGAUGCAACGGCGAGCGACUCCGGGCGGAGCUGCAGACUCGGCUCACCCCCGACCUCUUCGGGCCGAUCUGCCUGUAUUCCGCCCCAGAGGCGCUCGGGAUCUUCCUCACGUCGCCGCGCCUGCCCCCGGACCUCUCGCAAAAUGGUUGGCCCAUGCAAGCCCUCUCCAAGGUCACAAACAAGGAUGUCACCAUGUCCGGCCUCGUCGUCGACAGAGAUCGCGGAUACUUGGCCGCGCUCCCCGACGGGGUCGUCCAGACAGACGAUGCCAUUAUCAAGGUCCACGUCUUACAACGACCACGAAGGAACGGAAACCUAGAAGCGGUCGCAGCUGAUGCGGUAUCAAAGAGCAGUACGAUAUUUUACGAAAUUCAAGGGCUCCUGAACAUCACGAAACGCAAAGAAUGUAUCCUUAUCAUUGCCACCCGGAGACACAUAAGAUAUGUCACCGUCCAGAGAGACGAAGAGUUCUGGAUUAAGAACAUGUUGGACAAGAUCGUGAAUUUCUACGAGACGACUCUACUACCCAAACUGUCGGGAGAAAUGUUGCCUCAUAUGCAGAAUGUACGAUAUGCAGCAAAACUUGUUUACACUGUCUUGAGCACGUUGGAUAAUAAGAGAGUUCGGGAAAUUUAUGAUGACACGAAAGGUGCAGGCGCCUACGACGUGUUGAUGACAGAAUCUCGUGUCCGGAUAAUGCCCGAACAUUACUAUCUCGUUAUGGAUCCCGCGAUACGGAAUAAAGAAAGAGUGAGGGAAAUCUUGAAAGGCUAUCAUACGUCCAGAGAAAGCUGGGAUCUCGAGCAGAGUUCCAGAAAGAAGUUCCUCGAAAGUUACCUGGCUGCAAACCCCGGGUGGGAUAUCGAAGACGGUGGGUUGAUGAUCGACCGGGCGACGCCGUACCUGGCGGCGUAUCCUACCGCCUUCGGAGUCCGUACCCCCCCGGCGCCUCAAAACACUCGAUCAAGAAGCACCAGAGGAUUCGAAGUCUACAGCUUGGAAGAUAGGCACUCCCAACCCGAGGCACCGCAGCCGCCGCAACCUCGCAGUAAUGGCUCCCAACCAAGGAGCAAUGGAGGAAUAAAAGUCGAUUCCCAGAAACCUGGAAGUUCACCACAAAAAUCCAGGAAGAGGAAGAGGCAGAAGGUCAUUUUCGAAGUCGUUAUGCUGGACAGCGCAGAUAAAAAGCUCUUGAAUACGAUUCUAUAUGUUGAGAAAGCACGAAGGACUUGGCUGAGGAGAGGCUCGAAGUACUAUUACCAAGUGCAAGGUUCUAUGGCGAUAAGCCGCGUGAAACAGUGCAUUUUCAUCCUGGGGAAACAAGGGACGAACGGUGGAGAAAUCCUGCACUCGGAGAUCAUCGACUUCGACGUGAAAGUCUGGCACGACCUGCAACAGCAGCUGGCACACUUCUAUUUCAGCGCGUACCUCGUCUACCACGCCAGUCCGGAAUCCUUCCAGCUUCUCGUCCGCAACAAAAAACUGAACGAACUUUUCCGCGAGGGCGACCUUAUCUUCCCCACAAAGGCGGAAGUCGAAGAUGAUAAAAAGAAAGUUCAAGAUGAUAGAAAGAGAGCUUUGAAACUUUCAGAUUCAAAGGGGUAGAGACUAACCCUAGUAGCAGAUUUAUAUAAAAAAAAAAAUUAACCAAAGUAUACCACUCAUAUAACGGUUAUAUAACAAUUAAGUAACGGGAUGUUCAAAGGAAACCGCCGUCGUAUAAACGUUAUUUAUCAAAUAAUUUUAUAAAUUGCGAGAAUAACCUUUAUAAUUUAGUAAUAACCUAUAUUUUUAAUAACCUAUAUUUAUAAUAACCUUUAUAAUAAGUUUAUAUAAAAGUUAUUUGUAAACAUGUUUUAUUUAACCGUUAUACUUUAGUUAUACAUCUUUUAUAUAAGUACGUUCUUUAUAUAUAUAUUUUAUAUAACCGUUAUACUUUGAUUAUACAUUCUUUAUAUAAAUGCGCUCUUUAUAUAACGGUUAUACUUCGUUUAUAUACUGUGAAUUUAGCUCUGCUACUAGGGAAGGCUUAAGUCUAAUAACUUGUUGAGCCAUAAUCAAAAACUGAAGUAACCUCGUGUCAUCAUUUAUUCUCUUUUUUUAAAUAAACUACCAAAGAUUUAAAAAAUGUUUCAAUUUUUUCUCCCCCAAAGAAAAUGCGAUUAUAAAAUAAAAAUACAGUAGGGCCCCGAUGAGUGCAGGAAAACAUGUCGCCUAGUAGAGGAAGCAUGUGCGAAAGUACAGGAGGAAUGUACUGAAGACAGUCGCCGGCUGUGCCCAAGUGCGGAUUGGAAGGAGAGCACCGCCGCAGGUGCUGAGGUACAGAUUCUAGUGCUCAGCGCGGUUCUAUUUUUCUUCGUGAUAAUCUGUCGUGCUAAGAAAGAACGCCGUACGAACAUUCAAGAGUUGCCAAAUUUUCUCCGAUAAAAUGUUAAUUUUUGAGGGAAACUAUCGAUAUUUUUCUGUAAAAUUUUCCGACUUUUUACAUCGAAUUACAAGCAAAAUAACUGAGAAAUUGGAAGAAAAAAAGUCACAAAUUUUCUUGAAUAUUAGUGAUUUUUCAUAGUAAAUUUGGCAACGCCUGAAGGCUCAUACGGCGUUUUUCCUUAGCACGACAGUAAUCCACUCGCGAAAAUACAAGUAAUGGAACACGGACGUGACAGUUCGGGAUAGCCAUGAUUUAAAAGCGAGGAAAAUGAUGUAUCCGCGCAAAAACAGCGCAAUUUCUAGUGCGUCACGUAACGCUCAAGCUCAGUUCAUCGAUCGAUGGCAUUCUUCGCGAGUGGCUUAGGUGCUAUUGCUUAGUUUAACGGACUUUUUCACUUGGUUUAAACUUUAUGAUUUCUCAGGUUGAAUUUUCUCGAAUCGGUAUUAAUUUCUGUG